UGGGAUGGUUCCCAGGUUGGGUUUGUUGCUUUAGGCUCUGUCGGCUGCUCUCUGCUGCCCCCUGUUGGUGUGUAGAGGGAAGAGUAGGACUGUGGCUGAGAUGGAGAGAGGGAGAGAUUAGCAGGUCAGAGGCUCAUCCUCUGUUUCCCAGGACCCCAGUAUGGACCACUGGUGUGGCUAAGAACCUGACGAGAAGCCAUUAGAGGAGUCUACUCUUUGGGAGAGGCCAUCAGGAAAAUAUGCAUCAUAUUCACCUUCUCAACAGUUCCUCAAUACCAAGAGCCCAGAUACAGAGGGCAAGUAAAGAAUGAUUUGGUAAGACUUUGUCCUCCAGGACUUUAUGAUCUAGUGAAGGAAUAAAAAAGACCUCAGCCCAAGGGAAAGCACAAACAAACUAUAUGACAAUGUUAAAAACAGCAACGACUCCCAGGAAGGGUCUAAUUGGUCCAGAGAGUUAUCAUCGAAAAUCAAUGUCCCAAAUGGGCAGAGUCCAUGUGUCAGAUCGCCUUACCGACUGUCCUAUCUGUGAGCAAGUCUGUCACCUUUUUGUUAAACCAGGGACCUUAAUCCAACAUGGCUUAUGGAUGUGCUGGAGGCCCACAAGACACAACACCUGGCCCUUGGUGUGAGGAGCUGGUCACCCUCUGCAGAAAGGAUCUGUGGCAUGGUGGGCCCAAGGGCUUUAUACACAGCCCAAUACAGUGCCCCAGAGAGAGACAGCUAACAGAAAAAGAGGGACACCAGGAAGUGCUAAGGAGGAGAGAGACAGUUCCAAGGAAAGGAGAAGAAUAUUCUCUAUAGGAGGAGAAACUUGGCCAAACCUUGGAUUGGGCCUUGAAAGAUGAGAGGAUUUGGAUCUGGGAAGGGAUGGGGGAGUCACUCCAGACAGAUUAGCUGCCAGGAGCUCUGGAGGGGCCGGGGUAAAGCAUGCAUAUCUUGCCUGGCUCAGGGACGCAAUCCUGGACACUGAAGGUCCCUAGGGAGUAAUGUUCCUAGCAUCAUACUCUGUCCCAUCCCAUUAUCCUAAAAUCCCCACAAAGUCAUGCCAUGCCUGUAGCUCCCAUUCCUUCUCAUACCCUUCACACUGACCCCUCCAGGCUAGGACACUGGUGACCCUUUUUCCCAGGUCCCAGGACUUCCCGGCAAGCUGAAUUGCCAGCGGGCCUUUGUCCAUUUCCCUUAACCUCCCCUCAUGGCAUUGGGAGCUGGUGCUGUCACUCGCACACCUCUUGUCAGCCACUGUGCGUCAACAGUAGAAAGAGAGCCAGACGAGACAGAACAUACUCAGUGAAGGAACAU